rnacentral:rRNA from 1 species
GCUGUCUCUCACAUCGCAAGUCGAGCGAACAGAAGGGAGCUUGCUCCCGGAUGUUAGCGGCGGACGGGUGAGUAACACGUGGGUAACCUGCCUGUAAGACUGGGAUAACUCCGGGAAACCGGAGCUAAUACCGGAUAGUUCCUUGAACCGCAUGGUUCAAGGAUGAAAGACGGUUUCGGCUGUCACUUACAGAUGGACCCGCGGCGCAUUAGCUAGUUGGUGGGGUAAUGGCUCACCAAGGCGACGAUGCGUAGCCGACCUGAGAGGGUGAUCGGCCACACUGGGACUGAGACACGGCCCAGACUCCUACGGGAGGCAGCAGUAGGGAAUCUUCCGCAAUGGACGAAAGUCUGACGGAGCAACGCCGCGUGAGUGAUGAAGGUUUUCGGAUCGUAAAGCUCUGUUGUUAGGGAAGAACAAGUGCGAGAGUAACUGCUCGCACCUUGACGGUACCUAACCAGAAAGCCACGGCUAACUACGUGCCAGCAGCCGCGGUAAUACGUAGGUGGCAAGCGUUGUCCGGAAUUAUUGGGCGUAAAGGGCUCGCAGGCGGUUUCUUAAGUCUGAUGUGAAAGCCCCCGGCUCAACCGGGGAGGGUCAUUGGAAACUGGGAAACUUGAGUGCAGAAGAGGAGAGUGGAAUUCCACGUGUAGCGGUGAAAUGCGUAGAGAUGUGGAGGAACACCAGUGGCGAAGGCGACUCUCUGGUCUGUAACUGACGCUGAGGAGCGAAAGCGUGGGGAGCGAACAGGAUUAGAUACCCUGGUAGUCCACGCCGUAAACG